UACGUAGGGUGCAAGCGUUGUCCGGAAUUAUUGGGCGUAAAGAGCUCGUAGGCGGCUUGUCGCGUCGCUGUGAAAACCUGGGGCUCAACCCCGGGCCUGCAGCCGAUACGGGCAAGCUAGAAUUCGGUAGGGGAGACUGGAAUUCCUGGUGUAGCGGUGAAAUGACGCAGAUAUCGGGAAGAACACCUAUGGCGAAGGCAGCUCUCUGGGACGGUACUGACGCUGAGACGCGAAAGCGUGGGGAGCGAACAGG
rnacentral:rRNA from 1 species